rnacentral:lncRNA from 1 species
GCCCAGUCAAAUUUGAACUUGUAUUGUCAGGAUGCAGGCCACGUCAUAGGAUUUGGUCAAGAAGGAGGAGAAGAAGAAGUUUGAUAAGUCUAUGGAAGGAAUUGAUUUUGGCAUAACGAUUAUGAUCUAAGAUUUGCUCCAUUAGCUUAAUUUCAGUGGAUUUGAUUGACUAUUGCAUGUUCGAAAGAUACCUCCUGAUUUUUUUUAAUCAUGUUAUUUAAUGUCA